UACGAAGGGGGCUAGCGUUGCUCGGAAUUACUGGGCGUAAAGCGCACGUAGGCGGCUUUUUAAGUCAGAGGUGAAAUCCUGGAGCUCAACUCCAGAACUGCCUUUGAUACUGGAGAGCUUGAGUCCGGGAGAGGUGAGUGGAACUGCGAGUGUAGAGGUGAAAUUCGUAGAUAUUCGCAAGAACACCAGUGGCGAAGGCGGCUCACUGGCCCGGUACUGACGCUGAGGUGCGAAAGCGUGGGGAGCGAACAGG
rnacentral:rRNA from 1 species